UGACCGGCAGCUCAUUGUGCUCUGUACCCGGCUCAAAGUCACCUAUUUUCGGAUUACUGAACUACCGCCUACCUGACGGAGCACCAUGGAACUCUGAUGCGGCUCAACACAUCUACUAGCUAAAAGCCACUGAUAUGACCGAGCUGUGACGGAGGUCUGUAGCGGCUUACAACAACUAGCAAUCGCCACUCUGUAGCAUGGAGCUCCUCUUCGACGUUUGUUUUUACCGCUAGUUACUACGAAGGAGCUUGCUACAGAGGGCGCCCCCCCAAUACAAUGAUUGCUUGCAGUAUGAUGUCAGCAGCUGAAGUGAUAGAGUGUUAUCAUUCGUCCAUGACCUGUGAUCAAUCACCAAAUUCAAUUUGAGGCUGAUGGCUGGGGAGGGGCCACUGAGCCAACCACGAGACAAGCAGAGCACAGUGUAAUCUCCCACUCCCCUGUGGGUGCGGGGAGUAAAUCAGCACAGCUGGAUCACAGGCAUCAAUCUCAGCCAGCCCUCAGGAUGGGCCACUUGUGAGCCCACAGGGAGGCAUUUCCUCUUCAUUCCAAAUGAGAGACAAAUGUUGCCGGGAGAAAGCGGC